rnacentral:tRNA from 1 species
GGGGUUGUGGCUCAGCGGUAGAGCGCUUGCCUCUGUGCAUGCAAGAUCCUGCGUUUGAUCCUCAGCACUACA